rnacentral:rRNA from 1 species
UAGAGUUUGAUCMUGGCUCAGAUUGAACGCUGGCGGCAUGCCUUACACAUGCAAGUCGAACGGUAACAGGUCUUCGGACGCUGACGAGUGGCGAACGGGUGAGUAAUACAUCGGAACGUGCCCGAUCGUGGGGGAUAACGAAGCGAAAGCUUUGCUAAUACCGCAUACGAUCUACGGAUGAAAGCAGGGGACCGCAAGGCCUUGCGCGAACGGAGCGGCCGAUGGCAGAUUAGGUAGUUGGUGGGAUAAAAGCUUACCAAGCCGACGAUCUGUAGCUGGUCUGAGAGGACGACCAGCCACACUGGGACUGAGACACGGCCCAGACUCCUACGGGAGGCAGCAGUGGGGAAUUUUGGACAAUGGGCGCAAGCCUGAUCCAGCCAUGCCGCGUGCAGGAUGAAGGCCUUCGGGUUGUAAACUGCUUUUGUACGGAACGAAAAGACUCUGGUUAAUACCUGGGGUCCAUGACGGUACCGUAAGAAUAAGCACCGGCUAACUACGUGCCAGCAGCCGCGGUAAUA